AAAAAAAAAAAAAAAACACUUUUCUGAAAGGUGUCACCAAGCUUCAUGCUUUCUACAAAAGAGAAACUGCAUCACCCUAGAUACAAGAAGAGGAACUGGACUACAAAAACUUUUCAAAAAUAAAACAAUUCAGGACAGAGAGAUAAAGAAGCAUCCCCAUAUUUAUUCCAGUCAAUAAAUUGUUAUCAUGCUCAUCAUAGCAACUCGUUAACAAAAUAUGAGCUAAAUAAAAGCAUGUGACACAGAAUCCAUGCUUAACAAUCGUUAUUUACAAUUAAUCUAUCCAGUUAAAUGUUUGUCAAGUAUGAAAGGCUCAUGAUAUGAUGAUAAAGAUAAAAGCUGUCCACAAAUCUCCAAAAACAGUGCUUAUGUGGAAUUUUGAGAACCUUUACUUACCCUUCACCAAAUCCGUGAUUGUCAUUGUUUCGUAGAAACAACAAUGUGAAUUUAACAACCAAUUAAGUUAGAAGUACGAUUACUUGUCCCAGGAUGAUUACUCAAUACCCACUUCACCACCAAAAGCUAAACAAAUAAAUGCUUCAGCCUUCAGUUCAGCUUAAGCACGUUAAAAACUGGGAUAGGUUGUACAGACUCUGGAUUCUGGAAAAUGACUACUAAUUAUUUAGGCUUCUAUUUAGAAACCUGCAGCCGCUCCCACAUCCCAGUAGAUACGUUCACAUUUUCUUAUCGCUAUUACAUUAUCUUCACUUCCUCUCCUGCAAGUUUGCUUUUUUAAAAAUGACCCAUAUAAAUAGUUUUAUGGUAAUUUUAAGGAGUUAAUAAAGUUAAAAACAUACUUCUUUAUGUGUCUGUCACUCCAACCAUACAAUCCACAAUUUAAAUCUACAGGAGUCAUUUGGAUUGUCUUUUCACUUGUAUUUUGUAGGAUCCAGCCCCACUCCUGAAUUUGCAUUCCAAGUCACCAGAGGCAUAUAUGCCUCGUAGGAAAAAAAUGAAUAAAUAAUAAACGAAGGCACAAAACUUGCAGUCAUUCUUGACCAGAGAAAUUCCCAUGAGCCAUGACACCCCAUACAAUUUUCCUCCAGACAACCUGGGACUUCUCUAUCUCAGACAAUCAUUGAAACAAAACUUGGAAAAGCCUUUAAAAACCAUGUACAUAGCCUAAGUAGUCUGUUGAUUUGAACAUAUAAAGCAUCCGCCAUCAUCUAUUUUAUCUCGAUUUAUAUCAAAUACCAGAAAGUAGCAGUUCAACAAAAUGAAAAACUACAACAGCAUCACAAUAAGACCCCUAAAAGGUAAACAAACUAAUUUGUGACCUACUAUGGAGAAAAGAAGACGUCAAUGAGCCAAUAAGCUAGGAAUUUAACAGGCUAAUCCUUUUUGUUGGGGGUGGGCAAUUAAACAGCCUACUUAUUGAUUUAAAAAUCUUACACAUAAACAUCCUACUUUUGUAUGAUAUUCCCUAUUUACCUAUCUCAUUGUUUUAUCUUCAUCAUUUGAUCCAGGUAUGUCUACAACUCUAUAUGUCAUUUGACAAUUUUUUGAAGUCAACAAGCACCAAACCUCCACAAGUCCACAUAGAUUUCAAACUUUUCAAAAUCAACACAGGUUUCACCUUACAUCACAGCGAACUGAUGGAGUAAAUCAUUAUUCAUUGAAAUUAUUGAACGGAUAAAGCAAAAAUAGAAAAUUAUGAAAUUAUGAAAUAUUAACAUCCAGGACAACUGAUAAUAUCACAGAACACAAUAAAUUGAACUACAAAAGUCCAAGCCUACAAUUUUUGCAAAAUCCUUUUUUCCUACUUCACUUUUUCCAGGUACAAUAAAUUUUUCAAAGAGCAA
rnacentral:misc_RNA from 1 species